rnacentral:rRNA from 1 species
UGGGGAAUAUUGGACAAUGGGGGCAACCCUGAUCCAGCCAUGCCGCGUGCGUGAAGAAGGCCUUAGGGUUGUAAAGCGCUUUCAGCGGGGACGAUGAUGACGGUACCCGCCGAAGAAGCCCCGGCUAACUCCGUGCCAGCAGCCGCGGUAAUACGGAGGGGCCAAGCGUUGUUCGGAAUUACUGGGCGUAAAGGGCGCGUUGGCGGCACAUCAAGUCAGAGGUGAAAGCCCCGGGCUCAACCUGGGAAUUGCCUUUGAAACUGAUGAGCUAGAGUCCGGAAGAGGAUAGCGGAAUUCCCAGUGUAGAGGUGAAAUUAGUAGAUAUUGGGAAGAACACCAGUGGCGAAGGCGGCUAUCUGGUACGGUACUGACGCUGAGGCGCGAAAGCGUGGGGAGCAAACAGGAGUAGAUACCCCCGUAGUCG